GAGAGUAGGUUAUUGCCAGGGUUUUUAUUUUUAUACUUUAAACUUUGAUUUUAUUUUUAUGUUUUUUAAAUAUUGGUGUUUUUGAAUGUGUUGUUUAAAUAACAUAAAAAAUAAAAUAUAUAUAUUGACAUGCAUUAAACAAAGAUAUAUAUUAUUUUAUGUUGUAUAAAUAAAUUGGCAAAAUAGAGAUGGAAGAUAAAAAUAUGGUCAAAGUAAUAAGAGUCUAUGGUGAAUGCCUAGGAGCUUUAAGGCGAAGAAGGUCGUGGUAAGCUGCGAAAAGCUUGGGGGAGAAGCAAACAUUUAUUGAUCCCAAGAUUACCGAAUGGAGUAAUCU
rnacentral:misc_RNA from 1 species